GUCAGCAUUUACGUAGUGAUGUGUGGCUCGAGUUAUGAGACCACCGAUUCACGGCCUGCGCUUGCCUCUCUCUGAGAAGCUGAGAAGGCAGUAAACCUCCAUCACUCUGCAGUAUUGAAAUCUCAGAUUAUUCAAGGUACUCCGGGCACAUUUAGCAUGGGGAUGGGGAGAGACUCUGCGGUGCUUUGAUAAACAAUGAACUUAAAAGGAAAGAAAGGUGAAAAACCACCAUUCAAAGAAACGAGGGUGCCGUCAGGUGGAGAAGAGCUGAAGCAUGGCCAGAGAGGGGGAGCACGACAGAGCCGUCAGGUGGUGUCCACGAGCUCCCCUGUCCUCCUCCCCCAACCCCCCGCCCCACCCCACCCCCAGAGAGGUCUAGCCAGGUGUUAAGGUUCUCAUUUC
rnacentral:lncRNA from 1 species